rnacentral:rRNA from 1 species
GACGUAGGGCGCGAGCGUUGUCCGGAUUUAUUGGGCGUAAAGAGCUCGUAGGCGGUCUGUCGCGUCGGCUGUGAAAUCCCGAGGCUCAACCUCGGGUCUGCAGUCGAUACGGGCAAACUAGAGUAUUGCAGGGGAGACUGGAAUUCCUGGUGUAGCGGUGAAAUGCGCAGAUAUCAGGAGGAACACCGGUGGCGAAGGCGGGUCUCUGGGCAAUAACUGACACUGAGGAGCGAAAGCGUGGGGAGCGAACAGG